rnacentral:rRNA from 1 species
AUGGAGGUGGCUCCCAGACUGCGAAAGCCAAUCUCGGCGAUGCUAAAUGAUAGCGCACACCUGAUGAACAACGGUGGGGAACUGAUGCUGGUGCACCGCACAAUUCGGUACCUCAGGAAUAGAUCAAGGAGGAGGACGUAUGACACUUAUAAGGUGGAUUUGGACACCAAGUCUUUAUUCCCGGUCAAGAGCUUGGGCGGCCGAGCAUUGUUCAUGGGCAUGUAUUGCUCUCUAUCGGUUUCCGCGGACAGUUUCCCCUCCAUAAGUGGCGACACCAUAUACUUGAGCUUCGAUCUCAAAGAGAGAGUUCAUGGUUGA